rnacentral:tRNA from 1 species
GUUAAAGAGGCAGAUUAGUGCGAAGAAUUUAAGCUUCUUUUAUGAUGAAAAUCCUUUAAUA